CGCGACGCAGCGUCCGGCGAGGCCUGGUGGGCGCUGCCGGCAGCCGCGGGCGACGCCGGCAGACCCCCGGGACCUGGGUUUUCCAAAAGCGGUUUUUAAAACUCCCGAACGGACUUUUCAUUGAGCUUCCGGUCUCCGUUGACGCUCUUCCCUCCCCCCAGUCUCCGGACCUGGUGGUUCUUGCGUGAUGAGACUUCCAGAACUACAUGAAAUCAAUUAUUCCAACUGUGACCCUUGAUGACCCCAACCGCCACCGUCUGCCUCAUGUCACGGACAGCGAAGCGACCUAGGACACGGGACAUGAAGAAACAAAUGGGGAAUGCUACCAAGGCACGAGCUAGGACACUUGUACGGGAGGCCAACUUCUUGCCUGAGCGCCGGUCGAUCUUCUCCCUGAGCUCUGCAAACUUACAGGCGAUGUGGGCCGUGUGGCAGUCCAGAACUGCAGAGAGCCUGAGUAACUUACCCAUGAUGGAACAGCAGGCAAGUGGCAGAGCAGGGGAGCAUGUUUUAAAGUCAGAGUGACGCAGGGCCAAAUGACAGAGCGCCUAGGCAGGCAUGUGGACCACUGGCACAUGGUCAGCAAGCCCUCAAUCAGUAGUAGCAAACACAUAAGGAAUUCUGAGCAUGGGCUCAGUGCUGUUUUGAGCAUUUAACAUGGGUGAUCUCAUUUAAUCUCCCAACAACUCAGUGAAGUUUUAUUAUCUUCGUCUUGCAGGUAAAGUAACAGAGAAAUUAACUGACUGGCCCGAGAUCAUAUAAUUAAUAAACAGCAGAGUCAGGAUUUGAACCCAAAGCAUCAGACUCCAGUUCAAACUCUCAACCACUACCUUAUGUUAAAUGUUAAACCAGUAUCUAUGGCUGAUAAUUACUCGUGACCCCCUGGAAAAGUUGAGCUUCUUUCAGCACUGGUAAAAAUGACACUACCUAAAGGUGGUAGCGUAUUCAAGUUAGCAUGCUUGUUCAGGGAACACUCUACCACUUGCCAGCUCACGGGACCUGGCCAUCUGUUCGUUUUAGCUCUAAUUAGAGGGCAGAGUGGAGAACAAGAAAGACCAGAGACCAGGUGGCACCCCCCAAGCAAACUAAUUAGGUUAUUAAGAGAUAGAAUUAGAACCCAGGCGUCCUAACUUUUGUCGCUGUAGGAACGUCUAUAAAAUCCAUUGUAGUUUAGAAUAUUUAUCAGAUAAGCAGCUAUCAAAGAGCGGUCCGGAGACCCUGAUACCUUUUAGAGUUUGCAAGGUCAAAACUGUUAUGUAUAAUAUGAAGACAUUAUUUGCCUCCCCGCCCUCACUCUCUCGCCAU